UACGGAGGGUGCAAGCGUUGUCCGGAUUUAUUGGGUUUAAAGGGUGCGUAGGCGGUCUUUUAAGUCAGUGCUGAAAUAUCCCGGCUUAACCGGGAGGGUGGCAUUGAUACUGAAGGACUUGAGUAAAGUUGAGGUAGGCGGAAUUGACGGUGUAGCGGUGAAAUGCUUAGAUAUCGUCAAGAACACCGAUAGUGUAGACAGCUUACUAAGCUUUAACUGACGCUGAGGCACGAAAGUGUGGGGAUCAAACAGG
rnacentral:rRNA from 1 species